rnacentral:tmRNA from 1 species
GGGGAUGAUCGGUUUCGACGACGGUCGUCGAUCGAGGGGAAGCGGGCCGAGGAUGCGCGCUCUACUCGCAAACGAUGCGUGUAAACCAAUAGGUGCUGAACAGAACCGCACCGACUACGUUCUCGCCGCCUGAUAUCGCCGCGUGAACCUUUAGUCCGUCAGCCCAGGUGGUGCUCCCAGCCUGGUGUCUGGCGUCAUUCAGGGAGCCACUGGUUGCAAGUCACGUCGGUGGGCUUGCUUCGACAUUUAGCUGACUGAGCCUAUCCGGUAGCAGGUCUGCAUGAUGCCGGGGGCCGAGAAAUACUUACGCAGACUGCGCCCGGAGAAGACCUCGGGGCCGGCCGUCGGACGGGGGUUCGAUUCCCCCCAUCUCCACUG